UUUACUCUUCAGGGCGGGGUUAAAUUCCCCACCGGCGGUAUAGCCCGCGAGCCGAAAGGCAUGAUUUGGUGUGACUCCAAAGCCGACAGUAUAGUCUGGAUAGAAGAAGAGACGU
rnacentral:ncRNA from 2 species